GUUGCUCCCCGCCGGGGGCGCCCGCGCGCGGCACUUCCUGGUCUGCCCCGCAGCCUCCGCCAGCGCCCCUGGCUCCCAGCCCUGCGCCCCAACUCUGGCGCCUCUAUGUCGGUGCGCGCCCGCACCCCUCUCCUUCCCAGCGCCCAGGGUCCCUGUCCCGGGCAGCCUCGCCCUCACCCCGAGCCAGUCCACUCUGCCAGCGUGGCAGCCCGACUCCCCCCCUUUCCCGGGGGGUGCGGCGCCGGGGCCCCGGGUGAGGCGGCCGCGGGAACGCGAGGGGGGCAUCCCCGAGGCGCGGGCCGACCCUGCGCAAGUUCUCUCCCGGCUCGGAGACCCCCGGUGGGUCCCGCGGGCUCAGCCGGCGGCACUGCAGUCCCCGGGCGGCGGGAGCCGGCGAGGCCAGCGCCAGGCCUGGGAGGGACCGCGCCGGGGCCGGGGUGCGGGGGUGCGCGGGGCGGUACCGCUUUAAAUGCACUUGACUCACCUGCUCCGGCGCGUCCCUGCUCCCCGCUGACAGCUGGGGGCUUUGUUUUCUCCUCCCACCGGCGGCCCCGCCCCCGCCCCGCCCACGUGACUCGCCGUCCGCCGCCGCCGCUCGGCGGGUCCGCCCCCGGGAGCCCGGCCCGCGCCGCUCCGCCCCUUCCCGGGGGUGCGGGGCGGAGACCCCAGCGGAGAGAGGGACCCGCCUGCGGGCGGUUGGGAGGUGGCACGCUGGUUAGGACCCUAGGGAGCCAGGGUCAACUUAUGCUUCAGCCAAGGUCAGUCAGCUCCAGGCAUUGAUCAUUGAAGCUCUUCUGUGACAUAGGAGCCAGGGAGUGUCUUCCAUCUUGAUUCUACCCUGGGGACACACCAACCAUUAAUAACUCAGAGUGCUUGCUAACCUGUGGUACUGCCUAAGUAUAAAUCAUAGCCUCAACAGACAUGCUGCAGUGAGCCACUUAUGAAUGCAUUGUAAUGCCAUGCAGACUGAGAUGGAAAUGUUCAUUACCAAGAUAUGACAGCAUUUAUCAAGAUGGGGCAUGCAGGAAGCAGCUGAUCAGUGAUUCUCUCUCAUCACUGCUGUUUCUAUCUCUCUCUCCCUCUCCAUUCCUCUCUGAAGUCAAUAAAAAAUAUAUUAAAAAAGAAAUCCUAUGUAAU